AUAAUUGCUCAAUUUGAACUAGUAGAGAGUCAAAAGGGUUUUCCAUGCCUAAAACCCUCUGAUUUCAUCACACUUCUCCAUUUCCUCCAUACAUUUCCAAGCAGUUCUAUGUAAGCGGAUGGCCACCGCCGCCGCAUCGGCCGCCGCCAGGUCCGUUUUCCGGUCACCAUCUGUCCGCAACGCCGCUUCCAAAAUAGCAUCCGAAUCGAAAACCGUUCCUUCAUCUUUUCGCGCAGCUUCUAGAUGUGCUCUCUCCAAUCGUAUCUUCAGGUGUCCGGCUGAGAUGAGCGCUUGUGUGGAGUCACUGCAACCGUACCACACAGCCACUGCUUCGGCCUUGAUGACUUCCAUGCUGAUUGUCUCCAUGCGCAGUUACAGUUGGCUAUCAGAAGGUAUCUAGCAACACCUAUAGGGCCCUCCUUUGAUGUCCUUUUCCUUGUUUUACGAUUUUGGCAUUGGUAAAACUAGAUGAAGGUCAAGCAUAGAGGACUGCAAAGGAUUUCCUUAUGUUCGGAAGCUUACAAAUUUAGAGCACGCAACUUUAAUACAUAAAAUUCCUUUUGAUUACUUUUUCAAGCUUUGUAAUAAAGUUUGAUUGUUCUGGGAGUAUAUAAUGAUUGGACCGCCUGUAGAUUUUGCUAAUGAAUAUUGAAUUACUCCUAGUUUUUACUUUUUACAAUAUGCUUGUAGGAGAUCCAGCUCCUAUAUGUGAAUGUAACCUCAGAGUAUUUUUCAUUAUAUUAAUUAGAAAAGAGUAAGUACUUGCUUGGA